UACACUAAAAUGCACACGCUGUGAACUCGAAGAGUAGGGCGGGACACGUGGUAUCCUGUCUGAAUAUGGGGGGACCAUCCUCCAAGGCUAAAUACUCCUGACUGACCGAUAGUGAACCAGUACCGUGAGGGAAAGGCGAAAAGAACCCCGGCGAGGGGAGUGAAAAAGAACCUGAAACCGUGUACGUACAAGCAGUGGGAGCCUCUUUAUGGGGUGACUGCGUACCUUUUGUAUAAUGGGUCAGCGACUUAUAUUCUGUAGCAAGGUUAACCGUAUAGGGGAGCCGCAGGGAAACCGAGUCUUAACUGGGCGUUAAGUUGCAGGGUAUAGACCCGAAACCCGGUGAUCUAGCCAUGGGCAGGUUGAAGGUUGGGUAACACUAACUGGAGGACCGAACCGACUAAUGUUGAAAAAUUAGCGGAUGACUUGUGGCUGGGGGUGAAAGGCCAAUCAAACCGGGAGAUAGCUGGUUCUCCCCGAAAGCUAUUUAGGUAGCGCCUCGUGAACUCAUCUUCGGGGGUAGAGCACUGUUUCGGCUAGGGGGUCAUCCCGACUUACCAACCCGAUGCAAACUACGAAUACCGAAGAAUGUUAUCACGGGAGACACACGGCGGGUGCUAACGUCCGUCGUGAAGAGGGAAACAACCCAGACCGCCAGCUAAGGUCCCAAAGUCAUGGUUAAGUGGGAAACGAUGUGGGAAGGCACAGACAGCCAGGAUGUUGGCUUAGAAGCAGCCAUCAUUUAAAGAAAGCGUAAUAGCUCACUGGUCGAGUCGGCCUGCGCGGAAGAUGUAACGGGGCUAAACCAUGCACCGAAGCUGCGGCAGCGACACUAUGUGUUGUUGGGUAGGGGAGCGUUCUGUAAGCCGUUGAAGGUGGCCUGUGAGGGUUGCUGGAGGUAUCAGAAGUGCGAAUGCUGACAUAAGUAACGAUAAAGCGGGUGAAAAGCCCGCUCGCCGGAAGACCAAGGGUUCCUGUCCAACGUUAAUCGGGGCAGGGUGAGUCGACCCCUAAGGCGAGGCCGAAAGGCGUAGUCGAUGGGAAACAGGUUAAUAUUCCUGUACUCGGUGUUACUGCGAAGGGGGGACGGAGAAGGCUAUGUUAGCCGGGCGACGGUUGUCCCGGUUUAAGCAUGUAGGCGGGAAGUUUAGGUAAAUCCGGACUUCUUUUAACGCUGAGGUGUGAUGACGAGGCACUACGGUGCUGAAGUAACAAAUGCCCUGCUUCCAGGAAAAGCCUCUAAGCAUCAGGUAACAACGAAUCGUACCCCAAACCGACACAGGUGGUCAGGUAGAGAAUACCAAGGCGCUUGAGAGAACUCGGGUGAAGGAACUAGGCAAAAUGGUGCCGUAACUUCG
rnacentral:rRNA from 1 species